rnacentral:rRNA from 1 species
UACAGAGGUGGCAAGCGUUGUUCGGAAUUACUGGGCGUAAAGGGCGCGUAGGCGGUCUUUUAAGUCUUGUGUGAAAUCCCUCGGCUCAACUGAGGAACUGCACGGGAUACUGGAAGACUUGAGUUCGGGAGAGGGAAGCGGAAUUCCGGGUGUAGCGGUGAAAUGCGUAGAUAUCCGGAGGAACACCGGUGGCGAAGGCGGCUUCCUGGACCGGAUUACUGACGCUGAGCGC